UUCCUACGGGAGGCAGCAGUAGGGAAUAUUGCACAAUGGGCGAAAGCCUGAUGCAGCAACGCCGCGUGCGCGAUGAAGACCUUCGGGUUGUAAAGCGCUUUUCUGAAGGACGAGGAAGGACGGUACUUCAGGAAUAAGGAUCGGCUAACUACGUG
rnacentral:rRNA from 1 species